rfam:Myotis brandtii contig263490, whole genome shotgun sequence.
GGUGGUUCUUGGGUGACACACCCUGGAAUUGGGCUCCCUCCUCUCUAGUUCCAGGUGCGUCACCCGAGAACCACA